UACGUAGGGGGCGAGCGUUGUCCGGAUUUAUUGGGCGUAAAGAGCGUGUAGGCGGCCAGGUAGGUCUGCUGUGAAAACUGGAGGCUCAACCUCGAGACGUCGGUUGAAACCACCUGGCUAGAGUCCGGAAGAGGAGAGUGGAAUUCCCGGUGUAGCGGUGAAAUGCGCAGAUAUCGGGAAGAACACCCGUGGCGAAGGCGGCUCUCUGGGACGGUACUGACGCUGAGACGCGAAAGCGUGGGGAGCGAACAGG
rnacentral:rRNA from 1 species